GUCUACGGCCAUACCACCCUGAACGCAUCCGAUCUCCUCUGAUCUCCGAAGCUAAGCAGGGUCGGGCCUGGUUAGUACUUGGAUGGGAGAAUACCCACCUAGGAGGGUUGUUGUGUCCU
rnacentral:rRNA from 1 species